ACUCGAUAAUCCACGUAUACCAUUCCCCACCUAGACACUCAGCAUGUGUACUGCCGUUGUAAGCAUACCUUUAAAAGAGUAGUAUGCCCCUAUGACUAAUUACUAGCUCAUAUACAUCAGGUCAAAGUGCAGCCAAUGGUAGGGUGAUGAUGGGUUACAACCCCUAAACAGAAUAUCAACUAAGAAAUAAAAAAUCUUAUGAAAGUGGACUUGGCCGUAAUCAAUUUCAAAUUAAAGAAAUGAACAAUAUCUAAGACAUGCACACAUCGCCCGUCACUCUAUCCCAAAGGUUAGAUAAGUCGUAACAAAGUAGGUGUAAUGGAAAUUGUACCUGUCGAAGUAUAGCAUAUAUAAUGCUUUUUACUUACACUAAAAAUAAAGUUAAUAACUUACUUCGCUUGAAUAAUAUUAUCUUAUAAAUUAUUAGUAAUUAAAACAAUUAGAUAAUUAACAAUAUAAAGUACAGAAAUGGAAACAACAACAAAUCAAAGUAAAUUUUAAUAAAUGUACCUUGUGCAUUAUGGUUUUACAAGAAAAUAAUUAAAUACACUAAUCCCGAAUUCUGAGUGAGAUGUUAAAUUACUGCUAAGAACCCAUUAGUAACUGUGGAAAAAGUUUUAAGAGAUAAUUUAACAGGGGCUACAUACCAUCCGCGUAAGAAUAUAGCUGGUUUUCAACAAACAUUAUACAUUAAAACAUAUAAUUAUAUUAUAGUGUAACAUUAUUGAGGACAAGCCCAAUAAUCUGUGCUAUUAGCAUUAAUUAUUCUACCCAACUAAAUAGGCCUAAAACCAGCCAACUAAAAUACUUUAUCGUAACGUAAGUAGAUAUAAUAUAUAAUAUGUAAAUGCCCAAAAAAGUUGAAAUGGCUGGAAAACCCAAAACCUGUCCCUACUAUGUAAAAAUAAGUAUUAUAAAUUAAUAAAUAGUAUAAUCUAGUAAAAGCAACUCAUAUUAUAACAAUAAUUAAUUAAGGAACUCGGCAAACUAUUAUUUCGACUGUUUAACAAAAACAUUGUCUUUUGAAUAAAAUACUAGAUAAUACCUGCCCAGUG
rnacentral:rRNA from 1 species